AUCUUUGUUAUAUUUCUGCCUAAGACUCAGGUGGCGUAAGCCUUAAUAUCCUGCCGAGGAAAGUUUCUUUUCCUAUGUCUACGGUGGCAUAGGGAUUUUUUAUUAAAUCC
rfam:Lactobacillus senioris DSM 24302 = JCM 17472 strain DSM 24302 NODE_26, whole genome shotgun sequence.